AGGAAAAGUCUAUGUGCAGCUACAGCUACUGUGUUUUCCAGUGAAAUGAGGACCAGGCAAAUGUAAAGGAAUAAGGUUCGUCGGCAGCCGACAUCAGCAACUACGACAUCAAGGCAGCCAGCCUGCACAAUCUGAAGAAAAGAUCCAUUCCAUGCAGCUCUGGCCCUUUGCACAGCAGCACGGAGGAACAAAUACCAGCAGAGCAAAACACCACUGGAAAUGCAACCUCUGCUUUUCAACUAUCUCCUGCAGUAUCUCUAAACGUCAAACAAGAAUCUCUGAGGAUAGGUGGCCACAGCUGUAGCAGCUUCCAGUAGAGCUCUAUUGCCCAACUACCAGAAGACCUGGACUUCCGGAAGAAAAGGUGAUUCUCAUGAUUCUCCCAAGUCCUGCACAGAAGCUAACCUGGCAAUGAUAAUGGCACUUCUACUGUGCCUCUGCAGUCAGGAGUUUCCCAGUCCAGCUGCAGGCCUUGCUGAAGGAGGAGAAGAGCCAGGAGGGCUGGAUAAUCUCAAAUCUUACUUGGAGUGGGGAGUAUCUCCCUCAUUAGAGUCUCUCUCACCUGUGGACCGAAAACCAUUUGCGGAUAUGGGCUGUGACUGCUUGUUCACCUAGAUGUGAGCCCAGUGCCUGGCAUAAAGUCGGAG